UGCCUAAUACAUGCAAGUCGAGCGAACAGACGAGGAGCUUGCUCCUCUGACGUUAGCGGCGGACGGGUGAGUAACACGUGGAUAACCUACCUAUAAGACUGGGACAACUUCGGGAAACCGGAGCUAAUACCGGAUAAUAUAUUGAACCGCAUGGUUCAAUAGCGAAAGACGGUUUUGCUGUCACUUAUAGAUGGAUCCGCGCCGCAUUAGCUAGUUGGUAAGGUAACGGCUUACCAAGGCGACGAUGCGUAGCCGACCUGAGAGGGUGAUCGGCCACACUGGAACUGAGACACGGUCCAGACUCCUACGGGAGGCAGCAGUAGGGAAUCUUCCGCAAUGGGCGAAAGCCUGACGGAGCAACGCCGCGUGAGUGAUGAAGGUCUUCGGAUCGUAAAACUCUGUUAUUAGGGAAGAACAAAUGUGUAAGUAACUAUGCACGUCUUGACGGUACCUAAUCAGAAAGCCACGGCUAACUACGUGCCAGCAGCCGCGGUAAUACGUAGGUGGCAAGCGUUAUCCGGAAUUAUUGGGCGUAAAGCGCGCGUAGGCGGUUUUUUAAGUCUGAUGUGAAAGCCCACGGCUCAACCGUGGAGGGUCAUUGGAAACUGGAAAACUUGAGUGCAGAAGAGGAAAGUGGAAUUCCAUGUGUAGCGGUGAAAUGCGCAGAGAUAUGGAGGAACACCAGUGGCG
rnacentral:rRNA from 1 species